rnacentral:lncRNA from 1 species
GUCGUCCGUGUAUCCUUUUUCUUUUCUUUUUUUACCACAUUCACCUUACCAUUUUCACCACACCACAUGGAUUUCACUCGAAGCAUUAAUGAGCAUGGAAUUUAUUUCAUAGCCACUUCAUUUACUCCAUGCUCAUAUGCAACAUCUUCCCAAUCUUUUGGUCUCUCCAACAUCACCACAUUCGAGAUCUCCAACCCCCUCUUCCUUUCUAUUUAUAAAAACUUUAAAAGGGCGGAUGUCGAUGCAUAUGUCUAUAAUAAAUUUUGCAGAUCUCGUUGAGUUGAUCUUGAUAUAGGUCAGCAUUGGAGGGGAAACCACUUCACCGACAUAAAUUGAUGGUUUCCCAAGGACAAGCUUAGUGUCCUAAAAUAAGCACUGAUUAGAUCGUAACAUGAGCUUUUAAUUAUUUGCAACAUUACCUUGUGUGUUG